rnacentral:piRNA from 1 species
UGAUUGUGGAUGGUCAACAAAUAUUU